UGGGGCGUAGCCAAGCGGUAAGGCACGGGGUUUUGAUCCCCGGAUGCGCAGGUUCGAAUCCUGCCGCCCCAG
rnacentral:tRNA from 2 species